UAUAAUCAGCUGCAAGAGACACAUUCCAAGGGCUGCUGGACACAGACAGGUCAUGUACUACAGCUCCAGAACCUUUUCUAAUACACUGCAGAUAUUGCUAAGUCUAUCCCAAGGGAAUACAACUUGAACCAUGGAGGCUGUGGCAAAAAGAAGGGAGAACAUAGGGCUGACCAGACUCUCCGGCCAGAAACCUUCACAGAUCUCAAAGUGCUCAAUUCCUUUCUCUCUUCAUGUAUAGAAUAACGUGGAGGUUCACUCCCCCAUCUCUUCAUAGGACAGUAAACCUUUUGUAUUCUCAGUCAGGAUUCCUUUUCUCCUGCUGGGAAGAGAUGCAAUGUGGUAUGGUGAAGACUUCAUGCUGGUUCCUCCCCUGCUGGUGAUAGUUGGUAGUUCUUCCCCUUGUUAGCUCAAUGGCUUUAUUUAGUUUUUAUGUAAAUGCAUUUCCAAUAUCUCUCGAUUUACCUUGGAGACACACUCAAGCAGAACCACAUUUCUUUGUCUAGGGUGGCACACAUUUUAAGAACAGAAUUUCAGCACAUUUGCAAUUCUGCAUGUUACCCAUACUUACACCACACAAUAAUAUUAAUGCUCAGUGAGUUAUGAGUUUUCCGGUAAUACAUUACAUGCCACCCUUUGGGUAAAUAUCAUGACAACAGUGUGCCAGAUGGCACCGGCGUCUUCUUAGGGUCACAGUAUCCUUAAUAAAAUCCUCAGUAUUUUGAGGCAUCUAAGGAAAUUACACUUAGGCUAUAUACCAGAGAUGGCAGUGUCAGGAAAUCCAUCACGCUGAAGCUAAGAGUUAGAGAGAAGAAUAUUUACACCAAGAACUACUGACAGCUGUUAAAAUAUCUUAAAGUCCCUUCCCCCUCGCCACACAAUCGCAGGGCUUUUGAGGGGGCUCAUAGCAGCAGCAAAUGUUCCCAGGAGUUCUCACAUCACGCUGGCAAAUAUGUCAAAGCCCUUUUCAUGUGCUGCAUAUGUUACAAAGAACCCUUUUUCAUUGCUGGACCAGGUCCAUAGAACACCACUUGGAGGAGUGAAAGGUUGAGACAGAGUGAGGGAACUAAAGUCAAACUGAGCAACUUUGUGGGAUGAGUCCAUGCCUGCUCAUAUAAAUACCCUGAACUCAAAGGAGAAUCUGCAAGUGUGAAUUUAAUUUUAAUUUAACCCCAUGGAUUUUGCAUUGUGAAAAUCUUGUGUAAAAGUAAAAACUUUUUGUUUC